UACGUAGGGGGCUAGCGUUGUCCGGAAUUAUUGGGCGUAAAGAGCUCGUAGGCGGUUUGUCGCGUCUGCUGUGAAAACUCGGGGCUUAACUCCGGGCCUGCAGUGGGUACGGGCAGACUAGAGUGCGGUAGGGGAGACUGGAAUUCCUGGUGUAGCGGUGAAAUGCGCAGAUAUCAGGAGGAACACCAAUUGCGAAGGCAGCUCGCUGGGACGUUACUGACGCUGAGACGCGAAAGCGUGGGGAGCAAACAGG
rnacentral:rRNA from 1 species